rnacentral:rRNA from 1 species
UACGGAGGGUGCGAGCGUUGUCCGGAAUCACUGGGCGUAAAGGGCGCGUAGGCGGCUGGGGAAGUCUGUGGUGAAAGCUCGCGGCUCAACUGCGAGUCGGCCACGGAGACUCCUUGGCUCGAGCACUGUAGAGGCAGGUGGAAUUCCGGGUGUAGCGGUGGAAUGCGUAGAGAUCCGGAAGAACACCGGUGGCGAAGGCGGCCUGCUGGGCAGUAGCUGACGCUGAGGCGCGACAGCGUGGGGAGCAAACAGG